GUUUUUGUUUUUGUACGUUACGCACAACAAGACAUUCCGUUACAUUCGAGAGUGUGUAAAAGUACUCGAGCACCAGGCCCAAUCAAAGGCCAUGCAAAGCGGCACUCAGAGUCAUAGAUGCACAGGUGUGUGGGAUUUGCGACUCGCAAGAUGUGCACUUGUGUCUCCACCAGCACAAUCCGACGGGCCGACUUUGAAGAUUCACUAAUGAUCCUUCCGCAGGUUCACCUACGGAAA
rnacentral:misc_RNA from 1 species